rnacentral:rRNA from 1 species
GGGUUGUGAGGUUAAGCGACUAAGCGUACACGGUGGAUGCCCUGGCAGUCAGAGGCGAUGAAGGACGUGCUAAUCUGCGAUAAGCGUCGGUAAGGUGAUAUGAACCGUUAUAACCGGCGAUUUCCGAAUGGGGAAACCCAGUGUGAUUCGUCACACUAUCAUUAACUGAAUCCAUAGGUUAAUGAGGCGAACCGGGGGAACUGAAACAUCUAAGUACCCCGAGGAAAAGAAAUCAACCGAGAUUCCCCCAGUAGCGGCGAGCGAACGGGGAGGAGCCCAGAGCCUGAAUCAGUGUGUGUGUUAGUGGAAGCGUCUGGAAAGGCGCGCGAUACAGGGUGACAGCCCCGUACACAAAAAUGCACAUGCUGUUAGCUCGAUGAGUAGGGCGGGACACGUGGUAUCCUGUCUGAAUAUGGGGGGACCAUCCUCCAAGGCUAAAUACUCCUGACUGACCGAUAGUGAACCAGUACCGUGAGGGAAAGGCGAAAAGAACCCCGGCGAGGGGAGUGAAAAAGAACCUGAAACCGUGUACGUACAAGCAGUGGGAGCACAGAGCAAUCUGUGUGACUGCGUACCUUUUGAAUAAUGGGUCAGCGACUUAUAUUCUGUAGCAAGGUUAACCGAAUAGGGGAGCCGAAGGGAAACCGAGUCUUAACUGGGCGUUAAGUUGCAGGGUAUAGACCCGAAACCCGGUGAUCUAGCCAUGGGCAGGUUGAAGGUUGGGUAACACUAACUGGAGGACCGAACCGACUAAUGUUGAAAAAUUAGCGGAUGACUUGUGGCUGGGGGUGAAAGGCCAAUCAAACCGGGAGAUAGCUGGUUCGCCCCGAAAGCUAUUUAGGAGCGCCUCGUGAAUUCAUCUCCGGGGGUAGAGCACUGUUUCGGCAAGGGGGUCAUCCCGACUUACCAACCCGAUGCAAACUGCGAAUACCGGAGAAUGUUAUCACGGGAGACACACGGCGGGUGCUAACGUCCGUCGUGAAGAGGGAAACAACCCAGACCGCCAGCUAAGGUCCCAAAGUCAUGGUUAAGUGGGAAACGAUGUGGGAAGGCCCAGACAGCCAGGAUGUUGGCUUAGAAGCAGCCAUCAUUUAAAGAAAGCGUAAUAGCUCACUGGUCGAGUCGGCCUGCGCGGAAGAUGUAACGGGGCUAAACCAUGCACCGAAGCUGCGGCAGCGACGCUUAUGCGUUGUUGGGUAGGGGAGCGUUCUGUAAGCCUGCGAAGGUGUGCUGUGAGGCAUGCUGGAGGUAUCAGAAGUGCGAAUGCUGACAUAAGUAACGAUAAAGCGGGUGAAAAGCCCGCUCGCCGGAAGACCAAGGGUUCCUGUCCAACGUUAAUUGGGGCAGGGUGAGUCGACCCCUAAGGCGAGGCCGAAAGGCGUAGUCGAUGGGAAACAGGUUAAUAUUCCUGUACUUGGUGUUACUGCGAAGGGGGGACGGAGAAGGCUAUGUUGGCCGGGCGACGGUUGUCCCGGUUUAAGCGUGUAGGCUGGUUUUCCAGGCAAAUCCGGAAAAUCAAGGCUGAGGCGUGAUGACGAGGCACUACGGUGCUGAAGCAACAAAUGCCCUGCUUCCAGGAAAAGCCUCUAAGCAUCAGGUAACAUCAAAUCGUACCCCAAACCGACACAGGUGGUCAGGUAGAGAAUACCAAGGCGCUUGAGAGAACUCGGGUGAAGGAACUAGGCAAAAUGGUGCCGUAACUUCGGGAGAAGGCACGCUGAUAUGUAGGUGAAGCGACUUGCUCGUGGAGCUGAAAUCAGUCGAAGAUACCAGCUGGCUGCAACUGUUUAUUAAAAACACAGCACUGUGCAAACACGAAAGUGGACGUAUACGGUGUGACGCCUGCCCGGUGCCGGAAGGUUAAUUGAUGGGGUCAGCGCAAGCGAAGCUCUUGAUCGAAGCCCCGGUAAACGGCGGCCGUAACUAUAACGGUCCUAAGGUAGCGAAAUUCCUUGUCGGGUAAGUUCCGACCUGCACGAAUGGCGUAAUGAUGGCCAGGCUGUCUCCACCCGAGACUCAGUGAAAUUGAACUCGCUGUGAAGAUGCAGUGUACCCGCGGCAAGACGGAAAGACCCCGUGAACCUUUACUAUAGCUUGACACUGAACAUUGAGCCUUGAUGUGUAGGAUAGGUGGGAGGCUUUGAAGUGUGGACGCCAGUCUGCAUGGAGCCGACCUUGAAAUACCACCCUUUAAUGUUUGAUGUUCUAACGUGGACCCGUAAUCCGGGUUGCGGACAGUGUCUGGUGGGUAGUUUGACUGGGGCGGUCUCCUCCUAAAGAGUAACGGAGGAGCACGAAGGUUGGCUAAUCCUGGUCGGACAUCAGGAGGUUAGUGCAAUGGCAUAAGCCAGCUUGACUGAGAGCGUGACGGCGCGAGCAGGUGCGAAAGCAGGUCAUAGUGAUCCGGUGGUUCUGAAUGGAAGGGCCAUCGCUCAACGGAUAAAAGGUACUCCGGGGAUAACAGGCUGAUACCGCCCAAGAGUUCAUAUCGACGGCGGUGUUUGGCACCUCGAUGUCGGCUCAUCACAUCCUGGGGCUGAAGUAGGUCCCAAGGGUAUGGCUGUUCGCCAUUUAAAGUGGUACGCGAGCUGGGUUUAGAACGUCGUGAGACAGUUCGGUCCCUAUCUGCCGUGGGCGCUGGAGAACUGAGGGGGGCUGCUCCUAGUACGAGAGGACCGGAGUGGACGCAUCACUGGUGUGCGGGUUGUCAUGCCAAUGGCACUGCCCGGUAGCUAAAUGCGGAAGAGAUAAGUGCUGAAAGCAUCUAAGCACGAAACUUGCCCCGAGAUGAGUUCUCCCUGACUCCUUGAGAGUCCUGAAGGAACGUUGAAGACGACGACGUUGAUAGGCCGGGUGUGUAAGCGCAGCGAUGCGUUGAGCUAACCGGUACUAAUGAACCGUGAGGCUUAACCUUACAACGCCGAAGGUGUUU